AGUGAACGCUGGCGGUAUGCCUAACACAUGCAAGUCGAACGGCAGCACAGUAAGCUCUUGCUCUUACGGUUGGCGACUGACGGAUGGGUGACGCGUACAUCGGAUUCUACUUUUUCGUGGGGGACAACGGAGGGAAAAUUAUGCUAAUACCUCAUACGAUCAACCGCUGAAAUCAGGGGUUCAACGGACCUUGCCCGAAUGAAUGAGCCGAUGUCGGAUUAGCUAGUUGGCUGGGUAAAGGCACACCAAGGCAACGAUCCGUAGCUGGUCUGAGAGGAUGAUCAGCCACACUGGAACUGAGACACGGUCCAGACUCCUACGGGAGGCAGCAGUGGGGAAUAUUGGACAAUGGGCGCAAGCCUGAUCCAGCCAUACCGCGUGGGUGAAGAAGGCCUUCGGGUUGUAAAGCCCUUUUGUUGGGAAAGAAAAGCAGCAGGUUAAAACCCCGCUGUUCCGACGGUACCCAAAGAGUAAGCACCGGCUAACUUCGUG
rnacentral:rRNA from 1 species